UACGACUAUAGAGCGUUGAAACACCGAUCUCGUCUGAUCACCAAAGUUAAGCAACGUCGAGUCUGGUCAGUACCUAGAUGGGUGAUUGCUUGGGGGUACCAUGUGCU
rnacentral:rRNA from 1 species